rnacentral:rRNA from 1 species
AUUUGGGUAGGGGAGCGUUCUUAUUGGAUUGAAGCAGUACCGGAAGGAGCUGUGGACUGGUAAGAAGUGAGAAUGCCGGUAUGAGUAGCGAAAAGAAAGGUGAGAAUCCUUUCCACCGAAAGCCUAAGGGUUCCUGAGCAACGAUCGUCGACUCAGGGUAAGUCGGGACCUAAGCCGAGGCGGAAAAGCGUAGGCGAUGGACAACAGGUUGAAAUUCCUGUACUAGUAUGAAUUGUUUGAUCGAUGGAGUGACGCAGUAAGAUAGGUCAGCACGAGGAUGGAAAUUCGUGUUUAAGCGUGUAGGUGAAGUGGCAGGCAAAUCCACCAUUUCAAAAGCUGAGGCGUGAUGAGGAGUUACUAGAAAUAGUGACGAACUGAUUGAUUCUACACUGCCGAGAAAAGCUUCUAGGUAGAGACAUACUACCCGUACCGAAACCGACACAGGUGGGCGGGGAGAGAAUCCUAAGGUGCGCGGGAAAACCCUCGUUAAGGAACUCGGCAAAAUGCCUCCGUAACUUCGGGAAAAGGAGGACUCAUGUAGUGUGAAGAGCAGUAACGCUUGGAGCAUGAAUGAGUGGCACAAGAGAGGCGCAAGCGACUGUUUACCACAAACACAGGUGCCUGCUAAAGCGAAAGCUGAUGUAUAGGUGCUGACACCUGCCCGGUGCUGGAAGGUUAAGAGGAGGGGUUAGGAGUAAUCCGAAGCUCUGAAUUGAAGCCCCAGUAAACGGCGGCCGUAACUAUAACGGUCCUAAGGUAGCGAAAUUCCUUGUCGGGUAAGUUCCGACCCGCACGAAAGGUGUAACGACUUGCGCACUGUCUCAACGAGGGACCCGGUGAAAUUGAAGUACCUGUGAAGAUGCAGGUUACCCGCGACUGGACAGAAAGACCCCAUGGAGCUUUACUGCAACCUAAGAUUGAAUUUAGUUAUUGAAUGUACAGGAUAGGUGGGAGACGUAGAGACUAGGGCGCCAGUCUUAGUGGAGUCAUUGUUGGGAUACCACCCUUUCCAUAAUUGAAUUCUAACGGGGAGACUAACACCCUCCCGGACAGUCUUAGGCGGGCAGUUUGACUGGGGCGG